UAAUGUCUGGGAAACUGCUGAUGGAGGGGGAUAACUACUGGAAACGGUAGCUAAUACCGCAUAAUGUCGCAAGACCAAAGUGGGGGACCUUCGGGCCUCAUGCCAUCAGAUGUGCCCAGAUGGGAUUAGCUAGUAGGUGGGGUAACGGCUCACCUAGGCGACGAUCCCUAGCUGGUCUGAGAGGAUGACCAGCCACACUGGAACUGAGACACGGUCCAG
rnacentral:rRNA from 1 species